rnacentral:rRNA from 1 species
CCUACGGGAGGCAGCAGUGGGGAAUAUUGCACAAUGGUGGAAACCCUGAUCCAGCGACGCCGCGUGAGUGAAGAAGUAUUUCGGUAUGUAAAGCUCUAUCAUCAGGGAAGAAAAUGACGGUACCUGACUAAUAAGCCCCGGCUAACUCCGUGCCAGCAGCCGCGGUAAUACGUAGGGGGCAAGCGUUACCCGGAUUUACUGGGUGUAAAGGUAGCGUAGACGGUGCAGCAAGUCUAAUGUGAAAUGUCGGAGCUCAACUCCGGGACUGCAUUGGAAACUGUUGAACUGGAGUAUAGGAGAGGUAGGCGGAAUUCUUGGUGUAGGGGUGAAAUGCGUAGAUAUUAGGAGGAACACGAGUGGCGAAGGCGGCUUACUGGACUAUAACUGACGUUGAUGCUCGAAAGCGUGGGGAGCAAACAGGAUUAGAUACCCGAGUAGUC